rnacentral:rRNA from 1 species
CAGGUCUUGACAUCCUCUGACAACCCUAGAGAUAGGGCGUUCCCCUUCGGGGGACAGAGUGACAGGUGGUGCAUGGUUGUCGUCAGCUCGCGUCGUGAGAUGUUGGGUUAAGUCCCGCAACGAGCGCAACCCUUGAUCUUAGUUGCCAGCAUUAAGUUGGGCACUCUAAGGUGACUGCCGGUGACAAACCGGAGGAAGGUGGGGAUGACGUCAAAACAUCAUGCCCCUUAUGACCUGGGCUACACACGUGCUACAAUGGAUGGAACAAAGGGCAGCGAAGCCGCGAGGUGAAGCCAAUCCCAUAAAACCAUUCUCAGUUCGGAUUGCAGGCUGCAACUCGCCUGCAUGAAGCCGGAAUCGCUAGUAAUCGCGGAUCAGCAUGCCGCGGUGAAUACGUUCCC